GCCUGUGUAGCUCAGUUGGUUAGAGCGCAUCCUCGACACGGAUGAGGUCGCUGGUUCGAAUCCAGUCUCAGGCACCA
rnacentral:tRNA from 1 species